rnacentral:rRNA from 1 species
AGUGAACGCUGGCGGUAGGCCUAACACAUGCAAGUCGAACGGCAGCACAGUAAGAGCUUGCUCUUACGGGUGGCGAGUGGCGGACGGGUGAGGAAUACAUCGGAAUCUACUUUUUCGUGGGGGAUAACGUAGGGAAACUUACGCUAAUACCGCAUACGACCUACGGGUGAAAGCAGGGGAUCUUCGGACCUUGCGCGAUUGAAUGAGCCGAUGUCGGAUUAGCUAGUUGGCGGGGUAAAGGCCCACCAAGGCGACGAUCCGUAGCUGGUCUGAGAGGAUGAUCAGCCACACUGGAACUGAGACACGGUCCAGACUCCUACGGGAGGCAGCAGUGGGGAAUAUUGGACAAUGGGCGCAAGCCUGAUCCAGCCAUACCGCGUGGGUGAAGAAGGCCUUCGGGUUGUAAAGCCCUUUUGUUGGGAAAGAAAAGCAGCAGGUUAAGACCCCGCUGUUCUGACGGGACCCAAAGAAUAAGCACCGGCUAACUGCGU